GUAGUCAUACGCUCGUCUCAAAGAUUAAGCCAUGCAUGUGUAAGUAUAAAUAGUUAACUUUGAAACUGCGAAUGGCUCAUUAUAUCAGUUGAUAGUUUAUUUGAUGAAGAAUCACUAAUUGGAUAACCGUAGUAAUUCUCAGAGCUAAUACAUGUAUAAAGUCUUGUAGACUGCAUUUAUUAGAAUGAAAACCAUAGGUUUCGGCCUUUUCGUGAGUAAUAAUAACUAAUCAUAUCGUAUGCUUACGUAACGAUGUGUCUUUCAAGUUUCUGCCCUACUCAGCUUUCGAUGGUAGUGUAUUGGACUACCAUGGCAGUAACGGGUAACGAAGAAUUUGGGUUCGAUUUCGGAGAGGGAGCCUGAGAGAUGGCCUACCCAUCCAAGGAAGGCAGCAGGCGCGUAAAUUACCCAAUCCUGACACAGGGAGGUAGCGACAAUAAAUCACAAUGCGGAACAAUGUUUUGCAAUUGGAUUGAGAACAACGUACAAACCUUACCGAUAAACAAUUGGAGGGCAAGUCAGGUGCCAGCA
rnacentral:rRNA from 1 species